rnacentral:misc_RNA from 1 species
AAGUCGUAACAAGGUCUCCGUUGGUGAACCAGCGGAGGGAUCAUUACAGAGUUGCAAAACUCCCAACCAUUGUGAACCUACCUCACCGUUGCUUCGGCGGGUGGCCCGGGGCAACUCAGGCCGCGCCGGCCCCUCUUCAGGGGCCUGGCAAACCCGUCAGAGGACCGAAACUCUUCGUCAUCAGUGGCCUCUCUGAGUAACUUAUAUAAUAAGUCAAAACUUUCAACAACGGAUCUCUUGGUUCUG